rnacentral:rRNA from 1 species
GACGAAGGGGGCUAGCGUUGUUCGGAAUUACUGGGCGUAAAGCGAGUGUAGGUGGUUGCCGUAGUCAGGCGUGAAAGCCUUGAGCUCAACUCAAGAAAUGCGCUUGAUACUGGGCAGCUAGAGGACCGGAGAGGAUAGUGGAAUUCCCAGUGUAGUGGUGAAAUACGUAGAGAUUGGGAAGAACACCAGUGGCGAAGGCGGCUAUCUGGACGGUUUCUGACACUAAGACUCGAAAGCGUGGGGAGCAAACAGG